rnacentral:rRNA from 1 species
UACGGAGGGGGCCAGCGUUGUUCGGAAUCAUUGGGCGUAAAGGGCGCGUAGGUGGCCGUGCAAGUCGGAGGUGAAAGCCCUCGGCUCAACUGAGGAACUGCCUCUGAUACUGCGCGGCUUGAGUCCCGGAGAGGGUGGUGGAAGUCCCAGUGUAGCGGUGAAAUGCGUAGAUAUUGGGAGGAACACCGGUGGCGAAGGCGGCCACCUGGACGGGUACUGACGCUGAGGCGCGAGAGCGUGGGGAGCAAACAGG